ensembl:lncRNA
GGAGGCGGCUGGGCCCGGCCCGGGAGCGCUCGCCUGCCCUCCCUGGCGGUGCCCUGUGCCCGCAGCUGCGGCGCCCGGAGCCCGCGAUCUGCCGCCAGGCGCAGAAGUUCCGCGGUCCACGUGCGGCCGAGACGCGUUUGUUUAUGGCGGACCCGCCUUCGGGCGGAGCGCUCGGGCGCCACGGCCCGGGGAAGUGGGGAGGGGGGGCGGAAAGAGGGGGGGAGGAGGGACCGCGGCGGGGGCGGGGGCGGCCAACCUCGCCUCCAGACCCCGCCGCGGCCCCGGAGUCACAGGCGCACCUCCGCCUCCAGGGACUCUCCCGGGAGAGACCCGCGCGCUCCGGGCCUCGAGGAAGUGGUGGUCCUUUCGUCGUGGAAAGGAGGGACCUGGGGUCCGCGUGAGGUCUGGGGAGAGAGUGAGAGCCGGCGCGUGUUGAUGGAUGGAAGUCUCGUGGAAACGGAGAGGCCAGUACUUUUCAUCUCGGCUUCGCCAAAGAUCCCUGAGCCGUCCCCGGUUCGCGCGCUCGUCCGCAGCCCGGAUCCGGAGUCGGGUUCUCAGGCUGGCGGUUCCGCCAUCUGGGAGGGAGAUCCCGCGUGGUACCCUGAUUGAGGAGGGAGAAGCUGUCAACUCUGACAAAGGAAGGAAACUGGAAGCUAGGGAAGCUGCACCUGCAGAAAGUGCUGGAAUUCCCAGGCCAACCCCACCCCACUGUCCUUUACCUGUACUUGGAUCUUUCUUACUUAGCCGUGUGAGAUUCAGCAGUUACUUGGAUUUUCCUAAGUAAAAUCCAGAAAGGGAAAUUUGUGCUCAUUAACAUGCACAAACAUUUAAAUUUCUGAGUGGCUUGGAUUGAGUCAAGAGGAAAGGAUUCUUCCUGCCAUGGCCGCAGAGAGUUGUCAGUAAAAACUGAAAACUUUCAGCAGAAGAUAGAAAGGCAAUAAUUUAGACACACAGAGAAAAUCCCUCGCUAGAAAAAAAGAAAAAAAUGCUCCAAGUAAAAGUUAGGAAAUUUAUUUUUUGUACAAAAAUCCUUUGAACCUUGUUUGACAGUAAAUGUAUUUUGUUAGUUAUGUGGGUAGAUCUGGAUUUCUCCGAGACCCUUUGCACUUGUGAAUCUGAGAUUCAUUCUCAGCAAAGAUGAGUAAUGGAUCUUUGAGGAAUCUAUGCUUUAAAGUUGAUGUUCCCUGUUGGUCAUGGAAGCAGCUUCACUUUCGAUACUUUAUGAGGUUGGUUGUCAAGGGAACCUUGGGUAAAAUUUCUCAGGAGUGUCUCUGAAAACAUUAUUCAUAAUUAAAAAGUGAUGCAUAGAAAUCACCAGAAAAAUUAUGGCAAGUUUUGUUCGAACAUGUUUUUUGACCAUGUGGAAUAAAUAAAAUCAUUAAGGUCUGGUUGGGUAAGACUGUCUCCCUGACUUCCUUUGACUGUGCCAGGAGGAUCUGAGAGAGCAUCAUGGAUGUGAGAGCAACCUGUGGAGUAUGAGCUGAAGGGGACCUCCAUUUUCUCUAGAUAUUUCCUGUAUUGAAAUACAAAUUAUAAUUCCAUCCUUUUAAAGAUUCCUACAAAGUGCAGUCCAAGAGGUGUGUAAAGUAGCACUAAAGGGGUAUCCUUUUGUUUUUAGACUGGCAAUUCGUUUCUUACAUGAUAGUAUACAUGUUUCCAUGCCAUUCUCCCAAAU